UACGGAGGGGGCGAGCGUUAUUCGGAAUUAUUGGGCGUAAAGGGCGCGUAGGCGGCCUUGUAAGUCAAAGGUGAAAUCCCUCGGCUCAACUGAGGAACUGCCUUUGAAACUGCAAGCUUGAGGCCGGGAGGGGGUAGGCGGAAUUCCCAAUGUAGCGGUGAAAUGCGUAGAUAUUGGGAGGAACACCAGUGGCGAAGGGCGGCUACCUGGACCGGUCCUGACGCUGAGGCGCGAAAGCGUGGGUAGCAAACAGGA
rnacentral:rRNA from 1 species